AACAAUGAAUGAUGAUAUUUUACCGUCCCAGUCUGAUGGUUGUGAAGGAUUGGUUAUUCUGAAUUGUU